GGAUGAUCGGUGGCUGUGGCACGAGGUGGAGAGCCUGGACCCCACGGUUUUCAUGAACAACAACAUCCCCCCGCUGCUCCCGGAGAAGGAGACGGAUUACACGCAGUUCACGGGGCCCCCCCAGAAGCCUCCAAGACUCGGGGCACAG